rnacentral:rRNA from 1 species
UACGGGGGGAGCAGGCGUUGUUCGGAUUUACUGGGCGUAAAGGGCGCGUAGGCGGCCAGCACAAGUCAGUUGUGAAAUCUCCGAGCUUAACUCGGAACGGUCAACUGGUACUGUGCGGCUAGAGUGCGGAAGGGGCAACUGGAAUUCCCGGUGUAGCGGUGAAAUGCGCAGAUAUCGGGAGGAACACCGGUGGCGAAGGCGGUUCUCUGGGCCUUACCUGACGCUGAGGAGCGAAAGCGUGGGGAGCGAACAGG